rnacentral:miRNA from 2 species
AAGAGAGCCGUCUAUUGACAGU